GUGAGGAAUAUUGGUCAAUGGGCGAGAGCCUGAACCAGCCAAAUCGCGUGAAGGAUGAAGGUAUUAUGUAUUGUAAACUUCUUUUAUCGGGGAAUAAAGUGCGGGACGUGUCCCGUUUUGUAUGUACCCGAAGAAUAAGGAUCGGCUAACUCCGUGCCAGCAGCCGCGGUAAUACGGAGGAUCCAAGCGUUAUCCGGAUUUAUUGGGUUUAAAGGGUGCGUAGGCGGACUGUCAAGUCAGCGGUGAAAGUCCAUGGCUCAACCAUGGAAUUGCCGUUGAAACUGUCGGUCUUGAGUGUAGAUGAGGUAGGCGGAAUUCGUAGUGUAGCGGUGAAAUGCUUAGAUAUUACGAAGAACUCCAAUUGCGUAGGCAGCUUACCAGGCUACAACUGACGCUGAGGCACGAAGGUGCGGGGAUCAAACAGGAUUAGAUACCCGGGUAGUCC
rnacentral:rRNA from 1 species